GGGGGGGGCUUCUUAUGCUAGUCAUGCAUGUCGAGCGGAAGAUGGGUACUUGCUCCCUGAUGUUAGCGGCGGACGGGUGAGUAACACGUGGGUAACCUGCCUGUAAGACUGGGAUAACUCCGGGAAACCGGGGCUAAUACCGGAUGGUUGUUUGAACCGCAUGGUUCAGACAUAAAAGGUGGCUUCGGCUACCACUUACAGAUGGACCCGCGGCGCAUUAGCUAGUUGGUGAGGUAACGGCUCACCAAGGCGACGAUGCGUAGCCGACCUGAGAGGGUGAUCGGCCACACUGGGACUGAGACACGGCCCACACUCCUACGGGAGGCAGCAGUAGGGAAUCUUCCGCAAUGGACGAAAGUCUGACGGAGCAACGCCGCGUGAGUGAUGAAGGUUUUCGGAUCGUAAAGCUCUGUUGUUAGGGAAGAACAAGUGCCGUUCAAAUAGGGCGGCACCUUGACGGUACCUAACCAGAAAGCCACGGCUAACUACGUGCCAGCAGCCGCGGUAAUACGUAGGUGGCAAGCGUUGUCCGGAAUUAUUGGGCGUAAAGGGCUCGCAGGCGGUUUCUUA
rnacentral:rRNA from 1 species